UACGAAGGGGGCUAGCGUUGCUCGGAAUCACUGGGCGUAAAGCGCACGUAGGCGGAUCUUUAAGUCAGGGGUGAAAUCCCAAGGCUCAACCUUGGAACUGCCUUUGAUACUGGGGAUCUCGAGUCCGGAAGAGGUGAGUGGAACUGCGAGUGUAGAGGUGAAAUUCGUAGAUAUUCGCAAGAACACCAGUGGCGAAGGCGGACUCACUGGUCCGGUACUGACGCUGAGGUGCGAAAGCCAGGGGAGCAA
rnacentral:rRNA from 1 species